CGCGUCUCGGAGGGGGACGGGCCGCUCGGCGGACGGACGGACGGAAUCGCGCCGGCCCGACCGCCCGCCCGACGCUCCGUCGGGAGACGGGCCCGGCGAGGGGGAGAGGCGACGGGAGAGAGAGCGCGCGGCCGACGGCACCCCCGCGCCGCCCCGCCGGAGCGGGACGACCGGAGGGAGGGGCACGGGCCGGGGGCGGGACGGGCGCCGCACGCCCCGACCCGUCUCCCCCGCGGAGGUCGGGGGGACGGGUCCGAGGACGCGGCGGCGGAGCCGCCCCGCCCCGACGCGGAAGCUCGGGACGGGGCCCCGGCGCGGCGCGGCGCGGCCGGGCGGGCGGGCGCGCGCGCGUACGCGCGGGGAGGGCGAGGAGGACGGGCGGGGCCUCGGAGGAGGGGCGGCGGGGAGGAGGAGGGGCGCGGGAGCGGCGGUCGGCCGGACGCCGGGCCGCCACCGGGGGCGGGCGGCGAACCGCGGCGACCGGGACGCGCUCCCCCGACCCUCUCUCCCCGCCGGCACCCUUCCCCUUCCGGACCCGCCUUCCUCCUCCCCCACCACCACACCGCACGCAACACGCCCCCACCGCCGACGACGCGCGACGACGACGACGACGACGG
rnacentral:lncRNA from 1 species